UACGUAGGGACCAAGCGUUGUUCGGAUUUACUGGGCGUAAAGGGCGCGUAGGCGGCGCGGUAAGUCACUUGUGAAAUCUCUGAGCUUAACUCAGAACGGCCAAGUGAUACUGCAGUGCUAGAGUGUGGAAGGGGCAAUCGGAAUUCUUGGUGUAGCGGUGAAAUGCGUAGAUAUCAAGAGGAACACCUGAGGUGAAGGCGGGUUGCUGGGCCAACACUGACGCUGAGACGCGAAAGCCAGGGGAGCAAACGGG
rnacentral:rRNA from 1 species